GAUGAACGCUGGCGGCGUGCUUAACACAUGCAAGUCGAACGGGGAAGCGCGUUCCUUGUUGGUGGGUGGGGAGGAGUGGCGAACGGGUUAGUAACACGUGAGUAACCUGCCCCGUUCUUCGGGAUUACCGCAUGAAAGUGUGGCUAAUACGGGGUAUUCUGGGUCUGUGGCGUGAUGGGUGUGGGAAAGGUAUUGUGUCGGUGGGGGAUGGGCGCGCGGCGUCGAGGCUUGUUGGGGGGGUGAUGGCCUACCGAGGCGGUGAAGAGUAGCCGGCCUGGGAGGGUGGACGGUCAUACGGGGACUGAGACACCGACCAGACUACUAGGGGACGCAGCAGUGGGGAAUAUGGCACAAUGGGCGGAAGUCUGCUGCAGCGACGGCGCGUGAGAGAUGGCGGCCUUGGGGUUGUGAACCUCUUUCGCGAGUGAAGAACGCCUGCCUCGUUUGUGGAUGGGUUGACAGUAGCUGGAUAAGAAGCGCCGGCUAACUACGUG
rnacentral:rRNA from 1 species